UACAGAGGGGGCAAGCGUUGUUCGGAAUUACUGGGCGUAAAGGGCGCGUAGGCGGCCUGCUAAGUCGAACGUGAAAUCCCCGAGCUCAACUCGGGAACUGCGUCCGAUACUGACAGGCUUGAAUCCGGGAGAGGGAUGCGGAAUUCCAGGUGUAGCGGUGAAAUGCGUAGAUAUCUGGAGGAACACCGGUGGCGAAGGCGGCAUCCUGGACCGGCAUUGACGCUGAGGCGCGAAAGCCAGGGGAGCAAACGGG
rnacentral:rRNA from 1 species